rfam:Streptomyces sp. NRRL WC-3605 P232contig124.1, whole genome shotgun sequence.
GGUGGAGCCGGUGACCCGAGCUGGUAGUAGGUGAGUGAUGGGGUGACGCAGGAAGGUAGUCCAUCCCGGGCGGUGGUUGUCCCGGGGUAAGGGUGUAGGCCGGACGGUAGGCAAAUCCGCCGUUCAUUAAGGCUGAGACCUGAUGCCGAGCCGAUUGUGGUGAAGUGGAUGAUCCUAUGCUGUCGAGAAAAGCCUCUAGCGAGUUUCAUGGCGGCCCGUACCCUAAACCGA